rnacentral:rRNA from 1 species
UACGUAGGGGGCAAGCGUUGUCCGGAAUCAUUGGGCGUAAAGAGCGUGUAGGCGGUCCGAUAAGUCCGCUCUGAAAGCCCGGGGUUCAACCCCGGGAGGCGGGCGGAUACUGUCGGGCUAGAGUCCGGAAGAGGCAAGUGGAAUUCCUGGUGUAGCGGUGAAAUGCGCAGAUAUCAGGAGGAACACCGAUGGCGAAGGCAGCUUGCUGGGACGGUACUGACGCUGAGACGCGAAAGCGUGGGGAGCAAACAGG